rnacentral:misc_RNA from 1 species
GAAAUAAACAAUUCAGUUCCUCAAGGCUUAAGCAGCUCUAUAUUCACUCGCCGACCAGAAAUUAUCUUCAAGUGGAUCGGGCCACAUGGCAGUGAUUGUGGUAUUGUGAAUGUAAAUAUACCUACAAAUGGUGCUGAAAUUGGUGGGGCUUUUGGUGGUGAAAAAGCCACUGGAGGUGGCCGAGAAGCAGGAAGUGACUCCUGGAAACAGUACAUGAGGCGAUCCACUUGUACAAUCAACUAUGGGAGU